rnacentral:rRNA from 1 species
GACGACCGCUGGCGGCGUGCUUAACACAUGCAAGUCGAACGGAAAGGCCCUGCUUUUGUGGGGUGCUCGAGUGGCGAACGGGUGAGUAACACGUGAGUAACCUGCCCUUGACUUUGGGAUAACUUCAGGAAACUGGGGCUAAUACCGGAUAGGAGCUCCUGCUGCAUGGUGGGGGUUGGAAAGUUUCGGCGGUUGGGGAUGGACUCGCGGCUUAUCAGCUUGUUGGUGGGGUAGUGGCUUACCAAGGCUUUGACGGGUAGCCGGCCUGAGAGGGUGACCGGCCACAUUGGGACUGAGAUACGGCACAGACUCGUACGGGAGGCAGCAGUGGGGAAUAUUGCACAAUGGGCGGAAGCCUGAUGCAGCAACGCAGCGUGCGGGAUGACGGCCUUCGGGUUGUAAACCGCUUUCGCCUGUGACGAAGCGUGAGUGACGGUAAUGGGUAAAGAAGCACCGGCUAACUCCGUG